rnacentral:rRNA from 1 species
UACGUAGGGGGCAAGCGUUAUCCGGAAUUACUGGGUGUAAAGGGAGCGUAGACGGCAGCGCAAGUCUGGAGUGAAAUGCCGGGGCCCAACCCCGGAACUGCUCUGGAAACUGUGAAGCUGGAGUGCAGGAGAGGUGAGUGGAAUUCCUAGUGUAGCGGUGGAAUGCGUAGAUAUAUGGAAGAACACCAGUGGCGAAGGCGGCUCUCUGGUCUGCAACUGACGCUGAGGCUCGAAAGCAUGGGUAGCGAACAGG